CACAACAGCGACAACAUGCUCCAAUCGCUGUUCAAUUAGAACUGAGUGGAUUUCCGAACGGCGCUCGCUUAUAUACCGAUUGGUGAUUUCAAUAGCCUAUUUUGAAAGCAAAUUUAAGACUAUUGAAACAAGUUUUUGGAUGAGAAAGUAACAAGUAUAGAACGCGUAGACAUUUUAUCUUUCGAAUGAAGUGUUUAUCAUACCAUUUCGUUCAGUUGUUUAGGAGCUAUUAACACUCAAAAUCUCGGUCUCCGGCGUAACGCUUUCGUUUUCGAAACUUUGAUUUUACACCCCGGUAUAGAAAUGAAAGACGUAGUCCUACGUCAAAAAUUAUAAAAUAAAAUGUCCGAAAUUUGAAUCGAUUUUUUUUCCUACGAUUCAUAUUUCGGACAGUUAAAAUUGGUGAUACUACAAUGUGUGUUUUCGGGUUUAUUAUGGAUGCGACGCGCAAAUACCACAAAGCUGAAGACGCUUUUGAUGCCAUUCGAGCAGGAUCGUCCAUCCGUACGGCUGCAUCCCAGUAUGGUAUUCUUUUCGACUGUUGGAAGGAGUCGCACCCAAAAUCAGUCGGAAAACCAACAGUUUUGACGGAAACAGAAGAAGGAGAAAUCGCUGCUUGGGUGGAAUAAAUGGCUGCAGCUGGGCUUCCCGUGUCCGAGGAAAUCCUCAGAACCAGUGUUGGCCAAUAUACAAAGCGAUUGGGCAAACAUGACGUUUUCCCCCACGGGGUGCCAACAAAAGGGUGGAUUGUAAGGUUUGUUCAGAGACAUCCGACUAUUUCCAAAGUCACCGCGAAUCAAAUUUCGAAGUAAAGGAUCGUUACUGAAGCAAAUGUGCGAUCUUGGUUCGCAGAAGUCGAGGCAUAUCUGGCGUCAAAGGAUCAAUUGCAAGUUUUAACCGUUCCCAGUCGGGUGUUCAAUAUGGAUGAGAGCGCAUUCGAGAUGGCUCCCAAUCCCAAGAAAAAGCGUGUGUUCGCAGCUAAGAUGAUGAAAAACGUACAUGCGAUUCAAGCCAUCUCAAACCGCGAAUCGUAUACCGUCAUGAUGGCUGGCUCUGCAGAUGGUACACUGAAUCCGUGUGCCUAAGGACUGGGGUGUUGGUCGACCGGGCAAGGGCUGGAUGAAUAGCGGAUCAUUCAACGAAUACUUGGCUAACGUUUUUUAUCCCUGGUUGGUAAAAACAAAUAUUGUGUUUCCUGUUAUCGUUUUCGAUGAUGAUCACCGGUCACAUGCCACAUAUGAAACGGUACAAUUCUGCAAAGAGAAGAACAUUGUCAUGAUUUCAUUUCCAUCGAAUGCAACUCGCUUCAUCCAGCCCCUUGACGUGUCCUUUUUCAAGCCUAUGAAAAGUUCAUGGGACACUGUGCUUGUCAAAUGGCGGUUCGACAACGGAGGUGCGGCAAUAAGAAGACCGGACUUCGCUCCAUUAUUGAAUCAAGCGAUAAACGCAAUGGAAAAGAAGGAUGUCACCUUAAGGAAUGGUUUCAAGAAGUGUGGCUCAGUUCCUUGGGACGCAAAUGCAAUCGAUUAUUCUUCACUGCCGAACCCAUAUGCAGUCUCGAAAGAAGCACGACAAAAUAUUCCAAUACCUGUGCGCAAUCAAGAAGCAGAGCCUGGUUUAUCUAGCUCUAUAUUCCUUCGCGAGUUGAACCACCGACUGUCACCCGAACUUCUUACAGCUUUUGAACAACAGCGCCAAAACUUGAUGUGGACUGGCGAUCCUGAAGUAAUUCAGCUUUUCCAUUUAUGGAGAACAGUAUCUGAUGAGGUAGAAGGACCACCGGAUUUCAUCGAAAUCGAUCCCUUUCUGAUCGAUCUUAAUAUCGACACGACUAUUCUCCAAGGAGAACAAUUUGCUUGUUCUUAGGAAACAGCAACACGAAUGAUAUCAAUUCUGGAUAUAAUGGAUCUGACCAACACUCGUACAUAUUGGGAUCAAAUCGUCCAGUAGGAUUCGAUCAGCCGAUAGAUAUCAGAGAAGCUGAAGAAUCAGUGGACAAUGUGCAACUAGAUGUACAUCUAAGAGAAGCUGAACCCUCCUUAUGUUGCCGUGUAUCCUGGUAAUUCGUUGACCUACGGUAAACGUAAGCCUCAUGUUACUCCUGCAGUGGCCAUAAACGAGUCCUGGGAUAUAUGGUAUAGAGAAGGUGAAGCUGCGAAGAAGCUGACGAAGCACCAAAAACUCGAGGAAAAUUGAAUUGAAACAGAAAGCAAAGGAAAUACAAACAUUAGCUAAAUUGAGGAAGCAGGAAGAACGGAUGAAGCAGAAAGAACAACUUGCAGAACAGAAAAAAGCAAAAAAAGCUUCAAGUUCACGAAUUAAGAAAGCUUAAUUGGUACAAAAGGAUUAUUUAUUUAUUUAUCUAUUUACCAAGACAACAGGUUAUACACAGAUGCCUUAAUGCUCCAUGACUACUACUACUACUUAUAAUAUAACUAGAACUACAAAAGUACAACUAUAUGAAUAUAUACUAGUAACAUGUAACUAUAAAACAUCAUGUUAAUUAAGAACAUUGAAUACAU